rnacentral:rRNA from 1 species
AGUCAGCCUGCCCAGUGAUAAAAUUCAACGGCCGCGGUACCCUAACCGUGCGAAGGUAGCAUAAUCACUUGUUCUUUAAAUGAGGACUUGUAUCAACGGCAUCACGAGGGUUAAACUGUCUCCUUUUUCAAAUCAGUGAAACUAAUCUCUCCGUGAAGAAGCGGGGAUAAAUUUAUAAGACGAGAAGACCCCAUGGAGCUUUAAACCCAGCUACAACCUAAUCUAAUUCUACCUUUCAACUUUUAGGACUCUGUAUUUCUGGUUUUAGGUUGGGGUGACCACGGAGCACAAACUAGCCUCCAUAAUGAAUAGACCUCCUCUUUAUCUAAGAAUCACAACUCUAAGAAUUAGAAUUCUAACAUAAAAUGAUCCGACAUUCGAUCAACGAACCAAGUUACCCUGGGGAUAACAGCGCAAUCCACUUAAAGAGCCCAUAUCGACAAGUGGGUUUACGACCUCGAUGUUGGAUCAGGGUAUCCCAGUGGUGCAGCAACUACUAAAGGUUCGUUUGUUCAACGAUCAAAACCCUACAUGAUCUGAUUUUCAAACCGGA